rnacentral:snRNA from 1 species
AGGGGAAAGGUUCCAUGUGA